rnacentral:tRNA from 1 species
GCCGGGAUGGCGAAACUGGUAGACGCACGGGACUCAAAAUCCCGCGGUCGCAAGACCAUGGGGGUUCGAUCCCCCCUCCCGGCACCA